CGCGCAGGCGGUUUUAUAAGUCAGAUGUGAAAUCCCGGGGGCUCAACCCCGGAAGUGCAUUUGAAACUAUAAGACUUGAGUAUGGGAGAGGGAAGUGGAAUUCCUGGUGUAGAGGUGAAAUUCGUAGAUAUCAGGAGGAACACCGGUGGCGAAGGCGACUUCCUGGACCAAUACUGACGCUGAGGCGCGAAGGCGUGGGGAGCAAACA
rnacentral:rRNA from 1 species